GAGAGGGAGUAAGAGGAGCUUGAAUCAACCUCGGAAAAAGCGAAAUGUUUAACUUUAUGUCUGAGAUUGCGGCAAAUAACUCGAAAUCCCUGUCUGAGCCACGCACACGUUCCUGUGUUCCUGUGUCGCCUUCAGCCCCUCCUGGCGGUUUCUGCUUGUUGCUAUCGUUGUCGUCGGUCUGCAGUCUCCAGUCUCGAGUCUCCAGGCCAACCAACAACGAAUCAGUCGGAUUCAGUGUGGAGUGGCCGGCACAUCGAUGCGAUGAUAACUGGCAUGGCCAAGAGCCAGCAGGACAUGCUGGUGCCAGUCAGCACAAACGACAAUUUAAUGGAUAGUUCAAUGGCACUGAGCACCCGACCAAAACGAACUAGAGUUACUUCCUAUGAAGAUAGUAUAUACCUUCUAUGUUAGCUUCUAUAUUAUGCUAGUACAUACAUAAGAAUUAAGAAUAUCCCAAGUAAAAAUAAUAAUACAGACUAACCCUUUUGCCUUUGGGGUAUCCAUUAAAUAUACUUAUUUCUAAAAUGCCUCAUGAACUGUGAGAUAAUAGUGUUUCCCAAGACUCUAGAACCAGUAGAGCUUUUGACCAGUUCGUCGCCUGGGCAGCUGUUGCUGCUGCCCCCAUCGAUGGAGCACGCUAACUGCUGCUAUUGGCAAUCAGGCUGCUUAAACGCUGCCAGCUAUCCAACUAGCCGGCCAACGACGUGAGCUUAAUGCGCAAAAAGCAGGGAUAGCAGGUCCUGUAAGAGAGACUAUCUAGUGGGGCGGGGUAAGGAUGGAAGGGGUAGAGUGCAUUGGCGUUCGAGUGGCACAAGAUUUAUGCUCGGGUCAACAAGGUCGAUGGCGGCAAGCGUUGCACAUGUUGUCGUCUCAUCUUAAACGUAUUAGAAGCUGGAGCUCCAGUGCCAAGCUCUUUUGCUCCGAACUCAUUUCGUAUGCAGCACAGGCGAUGUUUUAGCAGUUUGCUCUAUUAUUUAUUGCUGGCCGUUUCACUGGCCAGUUCGUCCCAGUUCGUCCCUGUGUGAGUCCAUCCCUUUUGAGAAUCCAUUUGAAAAUCAAAAUCGCAGCUAAUGCGCCAUCAGCAAAUACACAACGAGAUUGCGACAGGGAUGAGCAACGUGGCCUGACCUUCAGUCGAGAAAUCUCAUUAGCAUUGGAGCAGGCUAUAGAAAGGCGUAAGGAUCUGAGGAGCUGCGAAACUGAGCAGGCAGAGGGAAAUGGGGCACAUUGAGGGGGACUUUGUCGGCGCCAGCUUAGUGACUUAAAACACAGGGGCAAACGGUGCUGCUCGGCAGUAAGUUUUCCCAGUAGCUUGCUGUGCAAAAUUUAUUGAAAAACUUUCUUAUCGCAUUUGAACAAGCGAGUAACUUCUCUGUAUGUUUCCGUUUGCCAGUGUGCGUGCGCCUGGAUAUUUGUGAUUAUUUUUUUUAAGUUUCGCAAAACUUUCCUCUCAGGGAUAAGAGGACAAAAAAAAACAAGGAAAACGAAAUGCCAGCGACGACUGGCCGGCCAGACUGAAAGUAACUUAAUUGUUUGCAGAUACAAAUAAAUGAGUUGAGCACAAAAAAAAAAAACAACACACUCACACAAAAGGACACGAGGCCAGGCAAGGCCAAGCUCACAACAAGGGACAGGAAAACAAGAAGAAAGUCUUGACUUGAUUGUUGGAAAAUCUUUGGCCCAGCCAGGCAAACAAAUCGAAAACUUUAAUGCGCUGCCGAGCAACGGGAAGGUGGCGGCGAAAGAUUAAAAGAACUGUUUCGGAUUCUCAAAAAGGAUUUCAGGACACGACAUUUAUUUAGGAAGCUGCUUCUAAUUAGUGGCAAAACAAUGGAGGCGGAGGCAGCUUAUCCUUUACGUUUUGUUCCGUUUUGUAAGGGAAUGCUUUGCCUUUCUUAUUUGGUUUGAUUGUACAAGGAGCGGUGAAAUGAUAUGAUGCAGUGAAAUGAACAGUGAGUUGAAUCGCCUGAGGCGUUUAAGUACGCAAGGGAAUCCUACAAUCAAGGACAUUUGUUAACUUGCGAACCUCCAUAUAGUUCUCCAACUCAAAUCGAAGCCUGCCGAUGGAAAAAAUAACAAGGCCAUGUCCGAGUUGAAAAGCAAUAAAGAUUUCCGCCAGUUCAGCGAUUCGCUAGAAACAUGCCAGCGCAAAAGGACUCCCACUCAGGAUUCAGAAUUCAGGAUCGUGGAAUGGGCCGAAUGGGCGGGUCAUCUGGCCUGCGGUCGCAUUGACAUUAUAGCCUGGCCGAGACAGAAAUUCACAGGAAUCCAUGGAACUACAACAAUAACAACAAUAGUGGCAGGAGAGGCAUGACAUUGAGGGCCAGGACAAUAACUGGGAUAACAAUAAGCACAAUGGCGACGAGAAGGACGAAGGCAGGACGAGCCAAAGCCCGCAUUGUGGAGAUGCUGCUGGCAAGGCAUUCAGCUGUUUGCACAACAAUUUGAUCAAUUUCGUUAUUAAUCCGAUUUGAUGGGGCGAAGAACCCCAUCGGCAGCCAUUUUGACGAUUUUGUGGUUAUUGUCGGAAGUGCAAAUGCAAAUGCAAAUGGAGAUGCAUCCACCGCAAGCUGGAGAGGAGUGCAGAUGAGAUGAGGGGAGAGAAGAGAAGAGAAGAUGGGCCGGGGUAAUGGCUCCUGGGAGUGGGGGCCAAUUGCCAUGCCAGUCACAUGCCCGUUGCCAAAUUUGCACUGGCACAAGUCAAACGCCCCCAUCGAGUUGACAAUGGAGUCCCUGCAUGCCAAUGAAUUGACUCGCACUCGCACUCGCACUCGCAGCAAUCCAAGCCGAAAUUCCCAGUAAAAAUCAAACGUGUCGCUGAUCCGGGGCUUCCUUUAAGUCAAGCGCACCAGGCGACAAAUGUCUGGAGUGCCAGCUGCUUAACCCGCUAAAGAUAUCUAGAAGUUUUCAAUAAAGAAAGCCCUCAGAACAACCAAAACUUAAUAUUAAUUAUGAACUAGAAAAAGGACAUAAAUAAAGUUAAACCUUUUCGAAAUCCUUAAACUUUUAAAAAUUAUAUUGAAUAACUUCUGAGAAAGAUUUCAUAGUUAUUUCAGUUUUUUGGUCAUAUUAAAAACAUCAAAUUUAUACCAAUUUGUCUCAAGUUACUAUCUCAUGUACUACAUGCUACUCAGCCCCAAAAACUAUCCAAUAAAGUAUUUUAUGUCGUUACUUAUCGGUAACCGGAGCUCUUUUGUGCACAGUGGGUUAAUGGAAUCCCCUUCAGGAUGCAGCAAUGCUUCUUUCCAUUGUAGCUGUUAGCCUGGGGAUAUGCAAUGGCAGCACAUUAAAAUAUGUGCAUGCGAUAACGGCUGAAGAGAGGGGGAGCUUUGGGUUGAGUUCGGUUGGGGAGAUGCCAAGAUGCCAAUGCAGGCGACAACGUUCGACAACUGCCAAUGAGUGGGCCUGGCCAGGAGGCGGAGCAGGAGGAGGAGCAAGGACACCAAUCGGGAUGAGGAGCACUGGCGGUUGGGGUCCGUUCAAGUGCGCGUCAGCAGCUACGAGCAGCACAUUUCCGUUUCCGCACACGAAAUGCUCUGGAAACGAAGCAUUUUCAAAAUGCAAAACGUGGCGCAAAAUGUAAACAGGGUUGGGGGCACCACCAAAAGGUACACGGAGAAAUAUGAUUUCCAUUUUUUUUUUUUUGUUGAAGAGUAAGCUAGAUUCUUUGCAAUCUAUGAACACCAUUGUAUUUUUUACUUUUACGGUUGCCACAUUUCAAGAUACUACGAAAUGCAGAGUAGUGCAUAUUUUAGGUAGUUAAUUUGAAUUGACAGUGAAACUAGUUAUUGCUUUUAUAAUAUAAAUAUAAUUUUAAAAGUGAAUACCGUAUGUGUUGAAUAUUUAAAUUAGUUUUCUGUGAUUUACUGACGGAGCUAGCUACGAAAAUAGAGCAAUAGAAUUUUUAUAAAAAUAUAUUUGCCAUGACUGCGUUAUAGUCAGGCUGGCGGCAUGAAAACAAAGCCGAUGGCACUUUAAGCCGCCACCCAUUUGGAGCCACAUAGAAAAGCCCAUCCGCCCAUCAGACCAUCAGCCCAUCAGCCCACUGGAACAUCCCCGCUAGCGGAAAUGCUUUGCAGGGCACGUCGCCGGUAGGCACACCCCCCUUCUCCUGCUCCCCAUCCUCCUUUCUUGCCCCCUCACACACACACACACAUGCACACAUGGAUGCUGCUGGCCGCUAAAAGCUGUUUUUACAGAUAUUUUACCCCCCAAGCCGCAUUCUGCCAUUUCCUUCCGUUCCGUUCCGUUUCGUUACGUAGCGCGACGUUACGUUGACUGACCUUACGUUAUGCUCACAUAUUUCACUCGCGUGCUGCCAGCCACAAAACUGCGACCCCCUGCAGCCAUUAGAAGCAGUGGCGUGUACCCUACACCUGCUUAGGGGGGUUUGAAAACAAAUUAACAAACUAAUAAAGGAGGCAUGCAUCAAUCUGUUUACCAUAUUUAGCUAUUUAUAGUUGAAUUAUGUGCUUUUUAAAACUAAAGAGCAUAAAAUAUGUUUUUAUCUUUAAAAACCCCCUAUGGGGCUGCCACUGCUUCGGAUCCCACAGUUGCUGGCAACUUAACUGCCUCCUAUCCGUACUUUCCGCUUCCAACUCCAGCGCAUAGCCAUUUCCAACGCGUACGUGCUUAUUUUUUAGCAGCUUGAACAAUGUUUUUGCACCCGGGAAAUUUGUGCAGCUUGUGAUAAAAGUUAGAGCCGGAAGGUGCCACAACGCGGGGUCGGAGGGCACGAGGUCGACAUUUUGGGCCUGGCAUACGGAAAAUACGGAAAAUGCAGUGGCAAGAGCGAUUGCCUCCAUCCUUGGCAUGCAUCCAUUGUCGCAUGCAAUUAUUGUGCUGAUUGAAGUGGGGCGAGUGCGGUUGGCGGGGCAACUUGGCGGGGAGCCCCAUAAUUCAUCCAACUUUCACAACAAAGACGACCUGGCACUAAGCCGAAACUCAAGCUGCUGAAAGCCGCGAAGGACACGCAUUCAAGGCAGCACGCAAACAAUAAAAAAAUACCGAGUUUUCAAGUUCACAUUACCAGUGGGAAUUUAAAGCAAACGCCGGCCUAAAUCAGACCCAUUUUUUCUAUGCGUGUGUGUGCUAUGGCCUAAUGGAAAAAUGUAUGAAUUAUUGAGUCCAAGCAAA